rnacentral:rRNA from 1 species
ACGUUCGGAAACGGACGCUAAUACCGCAUACGUCCUACGGGAGAAAGCAGGGGACCUUCGGGCCUUGCGCUAUCAGAUGAGCCUAGGUCGGAUUAGCUAGUUGGUGGGGUAAUGGCUCACCAAGGCGACGAUCCGUAACUGGUCUGAGAGGAUGAUCAGUCACACUGGAACUGAGACACGGUCCAGACUCCUACGGGAGGCAGCAGUGGGGAAUAUUGGACAAUGGGCGAAAGCCUGAUCCAGCCAUGCCGCGUGUGUGAAGAAGGUCUUCGGAUUGUAAAGCACUUUAAGUUGGGAGGAAGGGCCGUUACCUAAUACGUGAUGGUUUUGACGUUACCGACAGAAUAAGCACCGGCUAACUCUGUGCCAGCAGCCGCGGUAAUACAGAGGGUGCAAGCGUUAAUCGGAAUUACUGGGCGUAAAGCGCGCGUAGGUGGUUUGUUAAGUUGGAUGUGAAAUCCCCGGGCUCACCUGGGAACUGCAUUCAAACUGACUGACUAG